GUGGGGAAUAUUGGACAAUGGGGGAAACCCUGAUCCAGCAAUGCCGCGUGAGUGAAGAAGGCCUUAGGGUUGUAAAGCUCUUUCACCGGGGAAGAUAAUGACGGUACCCGGAGAAGAAGCUCCGGCUAACUCCGUGCCAGCAGCCGCGGUAAUACGGAGGGGGCUAGCGUUGUUCGGAAUUACUGGGCGUAAAGCGCGCGUAGGCGGUUUGAUAAGUUGAGGGUGAAAGCCCGGGGCUCAACCCCGGAAUUGCCCUCAAAACUGUCAAGCUAGAGUCCGGAAGAGGUGAGCGGAAUUCCCAGUGUAGAGGUGAAAUUCGUAGAUAUUGGGAAGAACACCAGUGGCGAAGGCGGCUCACUGGUCCGGUACUGACGCUGAGGUGCGAAAGCGUGGGGAGCAAACAGG
rnacentral:rRNA from 1 species